rnacentral:ncRNA from 1 species
AAAUCUAUUUCAGUAGAGCGUAUGAUGUCGAUGGCCCGAGGUAGAGCACUCAAUGGGCUAGGGUGGCCCCCAUUUCGCUUUACCAACCCCAGGGAAACUCCGAAUACAGGCCGUCAUCCUUAGUACAGACAGACUGAUUGGGUGCUAAGAUCCAACGUCGAGAGGGAAACAGCCCAGAUCGUACGCUAAGGUCCCUAAGCAAUCACUUAGUGGAAAAGGAAGUGAUCGAGCGAUGACAACCAGGAGGUGGGCUUGGAAGCAGCCAUCCUUUGAAGAAAGCGUAAUAGCUCACUGGUCUAGCUCCAUGGCACCG